CUUCUCUUCCCCCCCAUUUCUCUGUGCCUGUCUAUCUCUGUCUCUCUCUGUCUCUGUCUCUCUCUCUCUCUCUGUCUCUCUCUGUCUCUCUCUCUCUCUCUUACUCUGUCUCUCUCUCUCUCUUCUCUCUCUCUCUCUCUCCUUUUUCUCUCUUUCCCUUUCCUUUCCCCUUUCCCUCUCCCUCUCUUCCUCUUCCCUUCCCCCCUUUCUCUCCCACUCCCUUCUGCUCUCUUCUCUUUCUCUCUCCUUUUUCUCUCUUUCCCUUUCCUUUUCCCUUUCCCUCUCCCUCUCUUCCUCUUCCCUUCCCCCUUUCUCUCCCACUCCCUUCUGCUCUCUUCUCUCUCUCUACUUUUUCUCUCUCUCCUCUCCCUUUCCCUUUCCCUUUCCCUCUCCUCCUCUUCUCUUCCCCCCCGUUUCUCUGUGCCUGCCUAUCUCUGUCUCUCUCUCUCUCUGUGUCUCUGUCUCUGUCUCUCUCUGUCUCUCUUUCUCUCUCUUACUCUGUCUCUCUCUGUCUCUCUUCUCUCUCUCUCUCCCCUGAGCUCCCACAUCACCAACUGUUUGCCGGACACCUUCUCCCAGAUACCCCAUAGGUAUCUCAAACUCAAUGUAUCCAGAACAGAACUCAUUUCUUCUCCCUCCAAACCCACCCCUCUUCCAAAAUUCCCUAUAUCUGUCAAAGCCACCCCCAUCCUUCUAGUCAUUCAAGUUCCCAAUCUAGAAGUCACCCUCAACUCUUCACUCUCUCUCAUUCCCUUUAAUGACUCCAUUUCUAAGACCUAUCCAUUGUACUUCCAUGACACAUCUCCUAUCUGCCCCCUACUCUCCAGUUAUAGAGCCACUACCCUAGCUCAGACCCUCCCCAUCUCUCUUAGACUAUGGAACUAUUCUCCUAAUUGAUCUCCCAGCCUCCAGUCUCUCCCCUCUCCAGCCCAUCCUUCUCAUUGCUGCCAAACUGAUAUUUUAUUAGCACAGAUCUGAUCAUGCCAUUCACCUACUCAAGAAUCUUC
rnacentral:lncRNA from 1 species